rnacentral:tRNA from 1 species
CUUCGGGUUCCCGAGCGGCCAAAGGGAGCAGACUGUAAAUCUGCCGUCAUCGACUUCGAAGGUUCGAAUCCUUCCCCCACCACCA